UUGACCUCUCRAUCAGGCAAGCAUACCCGAAUGAACUUAAUACAUAUCAAUAAGAGGAGGAA
rnacentral:rRNA from 1 species